rnacentral:sRNA from 1 species
UGGAUCCUCAGAGCUACUAACGACCUGGGAUCUAUGGGAUUCCAACAAUCUGGUGACUCCCCUACAGGGUAAGGAAAGGACAGUUGAAGCACAUCCCAGGACAGCCUCCAACCCACGGGAGCAGGUGAGGGACCAACAGGCUAUGGAUGGAGUUACAGGACAGCCUCCAACCACACAGGAGCAGGUGAGGGACCAACAGGCUAUGGAUGGAGUUACAGGACAGCCUCCAACCACACAGGAGCAGGUGAGGGACCAACAGGCUAUGGAUGGAGUUACAGGACAGCCUCCAACCACACAGGAGCAGGUGAGGGACCAACAGGCUAUGGAUGGAGUUACAGGACAGCCUCCAACCACACAGGACCAAGUGAGGGACCAACAGGCUGUAGAUGGAGUUACAGGACAGCCUCCAACCACACAGGAGCAAGUGAGGGACCAACAGGCUAUAGAUGGAGUUACAGGACAGCCUCCAACCACACAGGAGCAAGAGAGGGACCAACAGGCUAUGGAUGGAGUUACAGCAGCGUGGGAGAUACCUGGGUGACAUGAACACAACUGCGACAACUCAAAAAAUGAACUUUCCAAACAUGAAGCCACGACUGGAAAGGUUUCAGUUUCAGGUAAUCAUUUACAAUACCAACGGAGGAGAAACAUUAACAUAACAAGGAAAACCAAGCCAGUGAAAGCAAAACAGAAAGGGAAAUGAUGACAGGGUUGGAGAGAUUAUGCCGGAUGGCACAGCAAUGAAGGUCACAGGAGUAAAUUGGAAGAAGUGGAGAAGACAUAACCGGACAAAGAAGGGGAGGACACUCCCCUGAAUCAAGGCUACUAAGGAGAACCAAGAAGGUUUGUCAGUGAUAGUGGGCUGCUCCUCUAACCCUGCAGUCAGGCCCAGUCUGAUCGCAAUGAUGGGGACAGCUGCUCCAAGUGACAACUGUUAGGAAUCUGGCAGAUCCUCGCUCACUGUCACUGCUUCAGGACCCUCAAGGGUCUUCUCCAUCUUGCUUUUGUUACUUUUCAACAAAGUCUGUGGCCCACGUGGGAAAAAUUCUGUCAAAGCUGUGCUUUUUUUCUCUUUAGUUCAAAUCUGAAAAUGGCCUGCAGGAAGGACUUCCAAAGGGGUGACACCAGCUGUAUGCAUUGCCUUGACAGAAAGGAUUUACAGUCAAGAAAGUCUCUCAGGAGCUCCUUCAAUGACAGGAGUUGUCAUCUAGAAUACUGAUAGGAGGAGAAGCACCAGCAAGUGUAAAGGGCAGAUGGACUCAGCUCAGGUGACAGAGGCUGAGCCAUCAGUCUGCAGCUCCAGGCAAUGGCAUCCAGGUGGCCAGACAGGCCAGUCCUGGCACAGGGUCUCUUACCACACCCCAUAGCUUGCUCAACUCUAGAGUAAUACUCCAUGAGGAAGAUCCUUGGGCUUCUUUGUCAGGAACCAUAAUGGAACAAGCAAGGUUGAACUUUCCGUGAUGUGGGCAGCGGUGGCCAAGGAAGGAGGUGAGCAGUGUGUCUGUCUAGAGACCUGCUGAGUUGAUGGAAGCUUUUCCUGUCUGACCUGCCCUUGAAAAGGACUGUCUGUGAGCUGAUGACUUGGGGAGAUGGGGCUGAGAGGACAAUGGGAAAAAAUGUGCAGACCUGUAGGGGAAACCCAGGGGAUGAAGGCCAAGGCUGAAUGACAGCUACAGGAAACCAACAGUGGAUGUCAGAGGCGACAGAAGCCAGGGUCUAUCCAUGGAGAGGGCUGGACACAACUCUCUACUGCCUCUGCCUCAUCCCCUCUCUUCCCCGUGGCUCGGGAAGAUGGGCGAGCCAGGAAGAUCAUAAUUUAUUUCUCUAGAAAAAAGAAAAGAAUUCCCUUGGGAAAUCUGCAGCUCCGUGAGCCAGAGGAGGCUCUGGCUCCUCCCUCACGGUGUCUGCUUCGGGAAUGAGUUUUCUCGGAGAUCCUCAAGAGGCUGGGUUCUGACUCCUCACCAGACCUUUGGGUUGGUACAGGACCAAAGCCCACGUUACUGGGUCUUUAUAAUUAUACACUUGUAUAACUUGUAGAACAGCCCACAACAUCCUUUGUUGCAUAUUUAUAGUGAGUUGUGUUUCAUACGAUCCUGAAUAGUCUGGAAUUCCAUAAAACAAAGUGGACGGAA